CAGAGAGCUCAUGAAGCCCGCAUUUCUGUGGGUUGGGAAUAGAUUAGAGUAUUUAGACAGCUUUCAUGUCCAGUCCCUGCCAGUCUUGCUGGACAUAAAAGAAACUUCAGAAAAUUCUCCAGAUCUACUACAGACUCCGAGUGAGAUCCAGGGAGGAGGAGCAUUACUUGCUGAAGGGAGGAAGCUGAUGGAGUAGCGGAGAGAAAGUAAAGCCCUUCAGGAGCCGAAGGAGCGUGUAUAUUCAAGAGGCGAUGUCCAGGAACAAGGUGAACCGGGGCUGAAGACAUGCUCUGAACUGCAGGGUCUGUGUCUGUCCCCUUGUUUGCACAAAUGCAAACCGAGGCUUGAAGGGAACAGAAAAGAGGUGAAGUGCCUGCCAAUAAUAAGCCUAUGCUUCAGUGGAGAAGGCAAAUCAGUAAGAAAUUAUGGAAGGGACUGAGGAAUCACUUACAAAUGCGAAUGCUUUUUACAAGAAAGAAAAUGUUCACCGUAAAAGAAUUGGCACUAAUCUACAAUUGUCAUAGAAUGGAAAAUAUAAUUUUGCAGGAUUAUAGAAUUUAAGGAUUUUUGGCUCUGCUCUGAUUUGGAUCACUGCAUAACAACUUCAAGAACUUGAGAGUUGGAGAAACCAUGCACACAAGAAAAACGUUAGAAUGAUUUUGGAUUAAACUCACCAGCUUCAGAAAUGCCUAAUUAAAACUGAUACUAGAAUUAAAUAUUAGAAAGGUAAAUAGGACCAUUAUACAAAAAUCACAGCCAUGAAUCCAUGAAACACCAACAGCAGAUGGAGGAUAGGAAGGGAGGAGAGAACCGUGGGUUUGACAACUGAAACUCAAUAAUAAAUCAACCAUAUCAGAAGACACUGUAUAUGGCCUAUUCCUUCUCUCAUUCUCUAUCACACAAACACACUUGCUCAUGCAGAGAGGAGGGUUUGAUACAAUUCCUCCUACAGAAAGAAACUGUGGGGUGUUUCCCACAGGCAUAUGCAUUUAGUUCUAGUUCAGGCUAGAGAAUCUGGGUUUCAUUCCCAGUCCCACAGGACUCUGACUCAAAAUCACCAUGCUGAGAAGUUGCUAAAAUAAAUAUUUUCUUUUAAAACUCUUAAAGCACUGUAAAGAAGUGUGUUAUAACUACUUAAUGAUAUGUUACCCAAAUUGGCAAACCAAAACAGCAGUAAUACUAUGAGGUGUAUCACAGCAAAAUAGCAAAUGAUGGCUACGAAUGACAUUUGGGUCAAUGGGACAUCUCUGAGCAUGAACCACUGUGAUUACAGAACUUAAAAGGCAACCAUGCAACAGGUUUAAGACAAAAUAAAGCAGAAGAUCUAUUUUCUGUUUUAAUCAGGAAAUACAUGUUUCUCAUCUGUUUUUCGGAUGGAAACAAUCUCUAUUCCUUCCUCAGAGAGUUAUAAUUUUGUUCAGAGAAGCAAACUGCCCAACCCUGGUGAUGCAGAAGAUAUUCAUGGAAAUUAGGGGUGACCAUGUGACCUGUUUAGCCAAUGAGAUCUGAACAGAACUUUGCUGAGAAAGAUAACACCAAAGAAAGCUUUCUUCAUCAAAGCGGACAGAUGAGGAAGGGUCAGUUCUUCACUGUUUCUUUCUGUCUCCCACACAGAUGGAAUGGCUGGAUCUACAGCAGCUAUCUUGUGACCAUGAGACAAACAUGAAGAUGAAAAUCAACACCCUGAGAUACCUAAUCAGAAAGGAGGAAAGAUCCUAACUGCAAAUAAACCAACACUACCAACAAUAAAACUGGAUAU